CGGUGCCCUUUUCUGCUUAUUGUGUCUAUGAUGCUAGUUUAACUCAGUACAUUUGCUUUAUAAAAAGCCAGAGAAAGAUGAUAGUCUGUUUAUCUAGGUUCUCCAAAGCAUUUCCUGCCAGGCAGUUGACAUGUAGCCUUGGCACAAUUUCAGGAAACUGUUUGCUUCUGUUUACCCUUUCCAGAUACAGCAUCUCCUAAGAAUUGAGCCUUUCACAGAAAACCACUGGAGGAGAUACUCACAAAAAAUGAAGGGGAAGAACAGGAAACAGGAAGACAUGAGAUGAAGGAAACAGGAGAUUCAACAUGGGUAAGGGUCGUUCUUCAAAAUAAGUAGAGUAAGCAUGCUUCUGAGACAGGAGAUGGGGGAAUGAAGAUACAUUUGGACAUGGUAGGGGAAAGUUGAGGGAAUUUACAUUUCUCCUUUCUCAGUGGUGAAGGCAAGGUUACCUCCUGAGAGUGAGUAGUUGGAAGUUUUGGGAACAGACAGGCUUGGGACAGUUGCUGUGGGGAACAAGAAGAGGAUCGAAAUCACUAGGAAUAAAAGGAUUGUUGAGCAGUAUUCAGUAUUAGGAGGAGGUUUGUAGUGAAGCCUGUCAGUUUUAUUUAUUAUUUUUUAGAGACGAAGUCUUGCUACCUUUAGGAGAUAACACGCGUGACCAUAGCCACUGUGACCUCGAACUCCUAGCUUCAAGCUAUCCUCCUGCUUCAAGGCUUGUCAAUUUUAGAAAUGAAGAUAGUUUUUCUGUCAGGCAGCUUUAGUGCUGUUUAUUGGAGAUCACUUUAUCUUGAGAUGCUCUGAAGAUGCAUUUUGC
rnacentral:lncRNA from 1 species